AGAGUUUGAUCAUGGCUCAGGACGAACGCUGGCGGCGUUAACACAUGCAAGUGGUGCGACGAACCAGGGCUUGCCCUGGGGCCAAGCCGCGAACGGGUGAGUAACACGUGAGNNACCUGCCCCGAUGACCGGGACAACCCGAGGAAACUCGGGCUAAUACCGGAUGAUGUUCACAAUCGUAAGUUUGUGUACUAAAGGAAGCUUCGGCCUCCGCAUUGGGAGGGGCUCGCGGCCCAUUAGCUUGUUGGUGGGGUAACGGCCUACCAAGGCAACGAUGGGUAGCUGGUCUGAGAGGACGAUCAGCCACACUGGGACUGAGACACGGCCCAGACUCCUACGGGAGGCAGCAGUGGGGAAUCUUGCGCAAUGCGCGAAAGCGUGACGCAGCAACGCCGCGUGGGGGAAGACGGCCUUCGGGUUGUAAACCCCUUUCAGGAGGGACGAAGGUUCACCGGUUAAUAGCCGUGUGGAUUGACGGUACCUCCAGAAGAAGCUCCGGCUAACUACGUGCCAGCAGCCGCGGUAAUACGUAGGGAGCAAGCGUUGUCCGGAAUCAUUGGGCGUAAAGCGCGCGUAGGCGGCCUCAUAAGUCCGUUGUGAAAGUCAAAGGCUCAACCUUUGAAAGCCGAUGGAUACUGUGAGGCUAGAGUCCGGAAGAGGCGAGUGGAAUUCCUGGUGUAGCGGUGGAAUGCGCAGAUAUCAGGAGGAACACCAAUAGCGAAGGCAGCUCGCUGGGACGGUACUGACGCUAAGGCGCGAAAGCGUGGGGAGCGAACAGGAUUAGAUACCCUAGUAGUCC
rnacentral:rRNA from 1 species